GAGAGCAUUGAAACUCAGGAUACCUGUUCAGCGGGAGCCGCCCACCUUCUCGGGUGUCUCCAGCCGGGGAGGUUUCUCUUUCAGAUUACUUUUCUCUGCUGUCCAGCAGCUUCCCCUCCUCUCCGCUCCCUUCCCCGGCACCUUCCGUGGCCAGCUCUGUGGCCUCCAGCUCGGGCUCCUUGCGUCACCGCAGGCCCCUCAUCAGCCCUGCCCGGCUCAACCUGAAAGGACAGAAACUGCUGCUCUUCUCACCGCCCGGGGAAGCACCAAAUACCCCCAGCAGCUCAGAGGAGCACUCACCCCCCAACGGCAGCCUCUUCAUUGAUCCUCCCCAGCUCCUGCAGAGGAAUCGCACUCGGGACACAAAGCACACUGUGGAUACGAGGUCGAUGCUGGCCAGAGACAGCGCCCACAGUGGCCACUCCAUCAAGAAAGAGGACGAGUCGUCUCAGUCCUCCACCUGCAUCGUAGAUACCACCACCAAAGGGUGCUCAGAGGAGACCACUCCCUGGAAAGCUCGUGUCAGCCCCUCCCUGGUCCGGGGCCUCCUGGCUGUGAGUUUGGCUGUCAAUGCGCUCUUCACCUCGGCCUACCUGUACCAGAACCUGCGCUGACCACCGAGUGCCCUUCCCGAGGGCAGUGCCCAGGCGCAUGCUGCUUCCACCACUGGCACACAGAUCCCUACCUGAGGGGCUCUGUCUCCGCCUUGACCUCCUGGGUUGAGUCCCUGACCUCAGGAUACCUGCUGUCCACCCAACAGACUGCAGACAUCAACUGUUUGGUGCUGACACUCUGACCCCAAAGCCAGGGAUCUUUGAUGGGCUUGCCAAGCCCCAGGGAUGCUGGUGCUACUGUAGCUGUGGCAGGGGCCACCAGGCCGCCUGUGCCCGACUGCAGCCUCUGAAACUCCAGAGGUCUGCUGCAGAGCCGCACUGGGAACCAAGGUGAAGAAAGCCCCUGAGAGACGCAUGUGGAGCCUGGGUCACAUCAUCUCACACCUGCCCACUCCAGAGAGCAAGACUCCCUGGAGAGCAAGUGUCCCCGGAGAAGGCAGCCGCCCACCGCCCAUCUCGCCCCUUCAGGCAGGGCUUCAGGCAGGGCUGGGCACAUGGGGACCCUGGGACUCGACACUAAGCACCUGUUCUCUGUCUCCCCAACCCCUGCCUCAAACUCCUGUUGGUGACUUUCUGAGAACACCAGAGCUCCCUCGUCCACUUGUCCAGGCCUCUCUCAUCCAGAGUCCUUGCCUGGCCCAUGAGUGUCAGAUGAGACUGGACACUUCUCUCAACCAAGUCCCUUACUCCUGAGGCCCUACUAUCCUCUCCUCCAUCCUGUCCCCAUCUCUGUCCCCCUCGACCUGUGGCUCCAGGCCACCUGUGUUGGUGCCUUCAUGCCUAACCACUGCCCUGCGGAGACACUGCAGGCUUCCUGGAGCACAUCCUGUCCCAUGAGGAGAAAGGAGGAACUUUGGCCUGAAACUGGCCCUUUCAAUAGUAUGAGGCCACAUGUGCCUGUAGGGGCCAGGCCUUGGCCUGUGUGCUUGUGUGGGUGUCUAUGUGUGUGCGCGUGUGAGUGGGUAUGCGUGUGCGUAUGUUAAACCCCUUGGGAUUCAUUGUGUGGGAGGGGCAUGGGGAAGGGAAGGGAAGGGUCUUCACUGUCAUUCAGGGAUAAAACUUAACUUUAUUUUUCUACACAUCUUUUGCCAGGUGAGGCAUGUGCUUUGAAGCCGAUGCCUCCAGCCCUCCCUGCAGGGAAGUGGCCUCCUAAGCUUUGGGUGCUUUUAGUACUUUUCUUUUAACUAUGGGGAAGAAGCCCUGACCUUACCUCUACACUCCUGUCCUGGGAGCUCUUGACACUAUCCUGGGUCAUCUCACACCAAUCAGGGGUCAGGACUCCACUGCGCACAGCUGCCACAAAGGUUGCAGCUGAAAGGUGACACCUCUUCACUCUGCAUUUGUACAGCAGAUGCGUCAAGUUUUUAAAUUUUGUCUCCUGCCUAAUAAAACCAAAUUGUUCCCUCAGCAUCCUCAUCUCCAGCCCUGAGGAAACAGCUAGGGAGAAGCUGUGGCCCCUCCCAGCAGGCCAGCCUGGUCCCCAAGCACCCAGGAGGGGCUUUUACUUAUGUCUGAUUCAUACAUAAACACGAUGUUAUUUUUCUUUACAAAAGUGAAGAAAUAAAAACUGUACCAACCUUUGGCUUCUA
rnacentral:lncRNA from 1 species